rnacentral:tRNA from 1 species
CUCAGCGUAGCCUAACGGCAAAGGCGCUCGUCUGUAAAACGAGGGAUCCAGGUUCAAUUCCUGGCGCUGAGA